AAAUAUUUUUAAAAAAUAAAAAAAUAUAUUUUUUACGAGUAAACCUGUUGUAACAUUUUGUCAUUACUAGUGUAUAUACUGGCAGAAACAGAUGCACCUUUAUUGGUAGAUUUCUUAUAACAUUAACAUAUGAAAUAUAAAAAUAUAUUUUAUGAUAAAUAUAUUUAGAAUUAUAAAUUAUUUUUAUAAAUAAGAUUAUAAAUAUAGUAAGAAAAGAAUAGUUAAUUAAAUUAGAUCAAUUUUAAUUUGAUAUCCCAUUUGAUCUUUUUG
rnacentral:misc_RNA from 1 species